rnacentral:rRNA from 1 species
AUUGAACGCUGGCGGCAGGCCUAACACAUGCAAGUCGAACGGUAACAGGAAGAAGCUUGCUUCUUUGCUGACGAGUGGCGGACGGGUGAGUAAUGUCUGGGAAACUGCCUGAUGGAGGGGGAUAACUACUGGAACCGGUAGCUAAUACCGCAUAACGUCGCAAGACCAAAGAGGGGGACCUUCGGGCCUCUUGCCAUCGGAUGUGCCCAGAUGGGAUUAGCUAGUAGGUGGGGUAACGGCUCACCUAGGCGACGAUCCCUAGCUGGUCUGAGAGGAUGACCAGCCACACUGGAACUGAGACACGGUCCAGACUCCUACGGGAGGCAGCAGUGGGAAAUAUUGCACAAUGGGCGCAAGCCUGAUGCAGCCAUGCCGCGUGUAUGAAGAAGGCCUUCGGGUUGUAAAGUACUUUCAGCGGGGAGGAAGGGAGUAAAGUUAAUACCUUUGCUCAUUGACGUUACCCGCAGAAGAAGCACCGGCUAACUCCGUG